CCGGCUGAUGAGACUAAGGCGAAUGUGAAUCUUGGCUUUUGCAGGGGUGGAUCUGAAAUCUUGGUGGGGAUACCCGAGGCCUGGCUCCCCGCUGUAAGGCCAGAUCAACAGCACUGCUGACCUUGCCUUUGUGUCUGCUGCCAUGCCAGUGCUUGGCAGCAGCCUACAGGGAGGUCCACAUGGGACAACCAAAAUGGGGGUGGGCACAAGCCACAUGAGCACAACCCUGGAUCUGACC
ensembl:snoRNA predicted gene, 23547